UUGGAGGGCAAGUCUGGUGCCAGCAGCCGCGGUAAUUCCAGCUCCAAUAGCGUAUAUUAAAGUUGUUGCAGUUAAAAAGCUCGUAGUUGAAUUUCGGGGUCAGUAGGUUGGUCAUGCCUCUGGUAUGUACUGGUCUCACUGAUUCCUCCUUCCUUAUGAACCGUAAUGCCAUUAAUUUGAUGUUGCGGGAAUUUGGACUGUUACUUUGAAAAAAUUGAGUGUUUAAAGCAAGCUAACGCUUGAAUACAUUAGCAUGGAAUAAUGAAA
rnacentral:rRNA from 1 species